GGACCCGCACAAGUAGUGGAGCAUGUGGUUUAAUUCGAAGAUACGCGCAGAACCUUACCAACACUUGACAUGUUCGUCGCGACUCUAAGAGAUUAGAGUUUUCGGUUCGGCCGGACGAAACACAGGUGCUGCAUGGCUGUCGUCAGCUCGUGUCGUGAGAUGUUGGGUUAAGUCCCGCAACGAGCGCAACCCCCUACUUUUAGUUGCCACCAUUUAGUUGGGCACUUUAAAAGAACUGCCAGUGAUAAGCUGGAGGAAGGCGGGGAUGACGUCAAGUCCUCAUGGCCCUUAUGUGUUGGGCUACACACGUGCUACAAUGGUACUUACAAUGAGAAGCAAGACUGCGAAGUUAAGCAAAUCCCUAAAAGAUACCUCAGUUCGGAUUGCACUCUGCAACUCGAGUGCAUGAAGCUGGAAUUACUAGUAAUCG
rnacentral:rRNA from 1 species